rnacentral:rRNA from 1 species
UACGGAGGAUGCGAGCGUUAUCCGGAUUUAUUGGGUUUAAAGGGUGCGUAGGCGGCCUUGUAAGUCAGCGGUGAAAUUUUGCAGCUUAACUGUAAAAGUGCCGUUGAUACUGUGAGGCUAGGAUUUGGUUGCUGUGGGUGGAAUGUGUGGUGUAGCGGUGAAAUGCUUAGAGAUCACACAGAAUACCGAUUGCGAAGGCAGCUCACAAAGCCAAGAUUGACGCUGAGGCACGAAAGUGUGGGGAUCAAACAGGAUUAGA